AUGAACGCUGGCGGCGUGCUUAACACAUGCAAGUCGAGCGAGAAGUUUUGAAAAGAUUCUUCGGAUGAAAUUUAAAAUGGAAAGCGGCGGACGGGUGAGUAACGCGUAGGCAACCUGCCCCAUACAAAGGGAUAGCAUUUGGAAACGAAUAUUAAUACCUUAUGAAACUUAACUAGUGCAUGCUAGGUAGGUCAAAGAUUUAUCGGUAUGGGAUGGGCCUGCGUCUGAUUAGCUAGUUGGUGAGGUAACGGCUCACCAAGGCGACGAUCAGUAGCCGACCUGAGAGGGUGCACGGCCACAUUGGAACUGAGACACGGUCCAAACUCCUACGGGAGGCAGCAGUGGGGAACAUUGCACAAUGGGGGAAACCCUGAUGCAGCAACGCCGCGUGAACGAUGAAGGCCUUUGGGUCGUAAAGUUCUGUUCUAGGUGAUGAAAACUGACAGUAACCUAGGAGAAAGCCCCGGCUAACUCCGUG
rnacentral:rRNA from 1 species